AUUGAACGCUGGCGGCAUGCCUUACACAUGCAAGUCGAACGGUAACAGGUCUUCGGAUGCUGACGAGUGGCGAACGGGUGAGUAAUACAUCGGAACGUGCCUAGUAGUGGGGGAUAACAACUCGAAAGAGUGGCUAAUACCGCAUGAGAUCUACGGAUGAAAGCAGGGGAUCGCAAGACCUUGUGCUACUAGAGCGGCCGAUGGCAGAUUAGGUAGUUGGUGGGAUAAAAGCUUACCAAGCCGACGAUCUGUAGCUGGUCUGAGAGGACGAUCAGCCACACUGGGACUGGGACACGGCCCAGACUCCUACGGGAGGCAGCAGUGGGGAAUUUUGGACAAUGGGCGCAAGCCUGAUCCAGCAAUGCCGCGUGCAGGAUGAAGGCCUUCGGGUUGUAAACUGCUUUUGUACGGAACGAAAAGCCCCGGGUUAAUACCCUGGGGUCAUGACGGUACCGUAAGAAUAAGCACCGGCUAACUACGUGCCAGCCGCCGCGGUAA
rnacentral:rRNA from 1 species